GAUUCCUUCUCUCAGACAUUUCCAGCACCUGGGUGAACCACCAAGUUGGAACCCUUUCUUGUGAACAUUUGCUGUGUGCCUGUGGAGCACUGGGUGUUGUGUUGGAGAUCACAAGAAGUGCAAGGUGUGAACCCAGUUGUGGAGGUACUUACAGACCCACACAACCAAGGAUCACAAAGAGAGGGAGUGCCUUGUUAGCCUCAUGAGCCAAGUGUCAUGAUAACACAGGUUACUCUGGAGUUGAAGGGUCUUCUAGGUGUAUUUUCUUCCAGGUUAGUUCCAUUGGCAGAGGAAAUGGAUGUGGGAAGCACGACUUACUCAACUCUCUCAGGGAAGUGAAAAAUAAAGCAGCCUGAUGCUGUCUCUACUUGCGGCUCCAACUUUGUUCAGUUUCUUGCCCUGGAUCUUCUGGACAAGUGGGGAUAGAGACCAUAUGUCAAGCUUGCAAGAGGACUGGGAAUUCUUCUGGAGAAAAAGCAGCGGGAGGUGGAGGGGCUUGUUUACUGGGUCCGGUACCUCCAGAUCUCGUGCCAGAGCCAGAUCUUCUGGAAGCACCAGUAGGGGCUAGGGGUGCCGAACCACAUACCUGGAGACUGCAUCUCGGAAUACAUUCUGUGGCUCACCGGCCGUUUUAAAGCCCCCUCCCAGAGAGCCACGGUACCGGAAUCCCGGCCUUCAAGCGUUGACUGUAAUGCCUAAAAACCGUCGCAAGGUGGCAACGUUGUGGCGAGAAAUAGACUUAAAAUCCUGGGUGGUUUUUUAAAGCAUAUUUUCCCUAUUAAUGUUUCAUUUAACUUAAUUAGA
rnacentral:lncRNA from 1 species